rnacentral:rRNA from 1 species
GACGAACGCUGGCGGCGUGCUUAACACAUGCAAGUCGUACGGUAAGGCCCUUUCGGGGGUACACGAGUGGCGAACGGGUGAGUAACACGUGAGUAACCUGCCCACAACUUUGGGAUAACGCUAGGAAACUGGUGCUAAUACUGGAUAUGUGCUCCUGCUGCAUGGUGGGGGUUGGAAAGCUCCGGCGGUUGUGGAUGGACUCGCGGCCUAUCAGCUUGUUGGUGGGGUAGUGGCCUACCAAGGCGGCGACGGGUAGCCGGCCUGAGAGGGUGACCGGCCACAUUGGGACUGAGAUACGGCCCAGACUCCUACGGGAGGCAGAAGUGGGGAAUAUUGCACAAUGGGCGCAAGCCUGAUGCAGCAACGCCGCGGGCGGGAUGACGGCCUUCGGGUUGUAAACCGCUUUCAGCAGGGACGAAGCUUUUUGUGACGGUACCUGCAGAAGAAGCACCGGCUAACUACGUG